CGAAGUCGGAAUUGCUAGUAAUCGUAGGUCAGCAUACUACGGUGAAUACGUUCCCGGGCCUUGUACACACCGCCCGUCACACCAUGGGAGUUUGUAACGCCCAAAGUCGGUGGCCUAACCUUUAUGGAGGGAGCCGCCUAAGGCGGGACAGAUGACUGGGGUGAAGUCGUAACAAGGUACC
rnacentral:rRNA from 1 species